rnacentral:rRNA from 1 species
AUGAAGGAUGCCGCAAUGAGCCACGCAACCCCAUCAGCAAGUGUUGAAGUGGAUGCUCCCGAGACGAACAUAGGCAAGGAAGAUUCCUCUUCCGACACUGACUCCAAGCGCGUGCGUGAUGGCACACCUGUGUCCACGACAGAAGCCGCUGAGGCGGCAGUUCAUAAGGAUAUGCCACCUACAGGUGAGAGUCCUGGCACAACAGCUCUAGCCCCUGCCGGUGCAGAUACUGCUAAGGUUACUGUGGCGCGUGUUGGUCUUCCACCCAGGCGUCGCAGCCCCCGUAAGCAACCAACAGUUGUACCCAAUGCACCGGCUGUAUCUAGGAGCAGGAGAGAUGAGUCUGGGUAUGUUCCUGCAUCUACACUGUUCCCGCCAACCGCCCAAAGCAAUGUGAUGGAGAACCCGCAAGACCGGAGCACAACUGAUGCAUCUGUCAAGGCUGGCACGAGUGACGCAGGUGAACGGCCGGAGUAG